GAUGAACGCUGGCGGCGUGCCUAAUACAUGCAAGUCGAGCGAACGGACGAGAACCUUGCUUCUCUGAUGUUAGCGGCGGACGGGUGAGUAACACGUGGAUAACCUACCUAUAAGACUGGGAUAACUUCGGGAACCCGGAGCUAAUACCGGAUGAUAUUUUGAACCGCAUGGUUCAAAAGUGAAAGACGGUCUUGCUGUCACUUAUAGAUGGAUCCGCGCUGCAUUAGCUAGUUGGUAAGGUAACGGCUUACCAAGGCAACGAUGCAUAGCCGACCUGAGAGGGCGAUCGGCCACACUGGAACUGAGACACGGUCCAGACUCCUACGGGAGGCAGCAGUAGGGAAUCUUCCGCAAUGGGCGAAAGCCUGACGGAGCAACGCCGCGUGAGUGAUGAAGGUCUUCGGAUCGUAAAACUCUGUUAUUAGGGAAGAACAUAUGUGUAAGUAUCUGUGCACAUCUUGACGGUACCGAAUCAGAAAGCCACGGCUAACUACGUG
rnacentral:rRNA from 1 species